rnacentral:rRNA from 1 species
CCUACGGGAGGCAGCAGUAGGGAAUCUUUCACAAUGGGCGAAAGCCUGAUGGAGCAACGCCGCGUGCAGGAUGAAGGCCUUCGGGUUGUAAACUGCUUUUAUAAGCGAGAAAUAUGAUGGUAACUUAUGAAUAAGGAUCGGCUAACUAAGUGCCAGCAGCCGCGGUCAUACGUAGGAUCCGAGCAUUAUCCGGAGUGACUGGGUGUAAAGAGUUGCGUAGGUGGCAUAAUAAUUAGCUAGUGAAAUCUGGUGGCUCAACCAUUCAGACGAUUAGCUAAACUGUUAAGCUCGAGACCGUUAGGAGUAACUGGAAUUUCUAGUGUAGGAGUGAAAUCCGUAGAUAUUAGAAGGAACACCAAUAGCGUAGGCAGGUUGCUGGGACGGUUCUGACACUAAGGCACGAAAGCGUAGGGAGCAAACGGGAUUAGAUACCCCUGUAGUC